UACGUAGGUGGCAAGCGUUGUCCGGAUUUAUUGGGUUUAAAGGGUGCGUAGGUGGUUUGGUAAGUCAGUGGUGAAAGCUGGUUGCUCAACAAUCAAGUUGCCAUUGAUACUGUCAGACUUGAGAGAAGUGGAGGCUCAUGGAAUGGAUGGUGUAGCGGUGAAAUGCAUAGAUAUCAUCCAGAACGUCGAUUGCGAAGGCAGUGGGCUGUACUUUUUCUGACACUGAGGCACGAAAGCGUGGGGAUCAAACAGG
rnacentral:rRNA from 1 species